CCACUCCCUCCCCCUCCCACACGCCCCACCCCCUGCAGUCCUCCCUCCCUAGGUGGAUAUAAGGAAGUCAGGGAAGAGAAGAUUUUGAGAGAAACCUGGAUAUGAUGCUGUGGAGAAACAGAAGAGAAAGAUGGACAUUCGUGUACCUCCUUGGAAGUCAAGUAGGAUAUGGGCACUGGAUGAGCGGAAGAGUGGUCCAGGAACAGAGGGAACAGGAUCAAAAGCAGAGGAGGCUAAGGAGAUUAGCUGAAAGCUAGGGAUGUUUUGCCUAGCAGGCUGUAAGCUUGUGGAAGACACACUAACCACAGAGCCUUCCGCAAGACAAUCUGCAGAAGAAACUGUUAUCAGAUUAACCACAACAAAAAUAAAAACUGUUACGGCUCAAAAUGACAGCCAUUUUACCAAAACUUGCAGCGUGCCCAUUGGAAAUUUGGGGGAGGGCUCAGCUGGGCGACUGCCCUGUUUGGUAGAGUCUUCCUUACCAUCACGCUCAUUUAGCUGCUAGGCUGGAAUGGUCUGAAGGAUCCCAGAUGGCUUUUCUCAUGUGGUUGCCUUCCUGGAAGAAAUGUUUGGAGGGCUGAGCUGAACCCCCUUCCUCUCUACAUAAUUUCAGGUGCUAUCUAGUGAUGUAAGACUCUUACAGUGAGAGUUCUAAGAAACAAGAAGUGGAGCCUUCUCAAUCCCUGGGCCUAGAGACAGUCAGCACCACGUCUAACCGCAUUUACUGGUUUUAGCAGGUAUAGAAUCUACCCACGAUCAAGGAAUUGGACCUGUACUUACUUUUCACUGGGAGCACUAUAAAAGUAUUGGAAUAAUUUUUGACUUCUAUGAGCAGUCUCAUUGGAAAUGAAUAGAGG
rnacentral:lncRNA from 1 species